UUAAUUAUUAAUGAUGACCGCAUAGUUCAGUUGAUGACCAUGAUAUAAAUGUCUGUAAAUGUCUUUCACCCCUAUCUGAAUAAUUCA